AAGGACGGGCCAAUGCGACGGUGAUCGGGUACCUCCGAAUGGCAUCGAUAUCGGACAAGGCAAAAGCUGAAGGAAGCACGGCAAAUGACAAUUCAACACGUGAGUAAAAGAGGUAACGAAAAAUUCUCUUGUCAUGUCAUUAAUUAAGUAUACAUUACAGAGCCCUUGAGACUGAAAAAGAAAGAUGACAAGAAAAGCAAGCCGAAGUGGCAACGACCAAGAACCUCCAGACGACAUCGACAUCAAAAAGGAAAAAAAAAGAAGAAACAACAAUGCCAACAAACAAACAAGCGGCA
rnacentral:lncRNA from 1 species